rnacentral:tRNA from 1 species
GCGCGAUUAGCUCAGUGGUAGAGCGUCUCAUUGACGUUGAGAAGGUCAUCCGUCCGAAUCGGAUAUCGCGCACCA